UACGAAGGUCCCAAGCGUUGUUCGGAAUCAUUGGGUUUAAAGGGUCCGUAGGCGGUCUUAUAAGUCAGUGGUGAAAGCCCAUCGCUCAACGAUGGAACUGCCAUUGAUACUGUAGGACUUGAAUUUUUGUGAAGUAACUAGAAUAUGUAGUGUAGCGGUGAAAUGCUUAGAUAUUGCAUGGAAUACCAAUUGCGAAGGCAGGUUACUAACAAACGAUUGACGCUGAUGGACGAAAGCGUGGGGAGCGAACAGG
rnacentral:rRNA from 1 species